rnacentral:rRNA from 1 species
AUCCAAGCUACUAAGAGCCAACGGUGGAUGCCUUGGCACUAGGAGCCGAUGAAGGACGUAGCAGGCUGCGAUAAGCCUCGGGAAGCUGCCAAGCGAGCGUUAUAACCGAGGAUCUCCCAAUGGGGAAACCCGGCUGGGGUCAUGCCCAGUCACUCCGGUCUGAACACAUAGGGCCGGUAGAGGCAACCAGGGGAAUUGAAACAUCUCAGUACCCUGAGGAAAAGAAAGCAAUAGCGACUCCCUGAGUAGCGGCGAGCGAAACGGGAAGAGUCUAAACCUAUGCAGUGUGAUAGCCCGGUGGUGUUGCUGUAUAGGGGUUGUGGGACCCAUGUCUCCUGCGCACCGGCGCGGAGCUGAAGUUACAAAGUCGGCGGUUAGCUGAACACAGCUGGAAAGCUGGGCCGUAGGGGGUAAUAGCCCCGUGAGCGAAAACCGACCGACCUUCAGAUUGGUGUUCCCAAGUAUCACGGAGGAGAUUCCGUGUGAAUCUGCGAGAACCACCUCGUAAGACUAAGUACUACCUAGUGACCGAUAGUGAACUAGUACCGUGAGGGAAAGGUGAAAAGAACCCCGGCGAGGGGAGUGAAAUAGUACCUGAAACCGAUGGCUUACAAGCAGUGGGAGGACGUUUUCGAACGUCUGACCGCCUGCCUUUUGAAGAAUGAGCCGGCGAGUUACCGGUAUGUGGCGAGGUUAAGGCGUUAGCCGUAGCCGAAGCGAAAGCAAGUCUGAAUAGGGCGUCUAGUCGCGUGCUGUAGACCCGAAGCCGAGUGAGCUAUCCAUGGGCAGGGUGAAGCGAGGGUAAGACCUCGUGGAGGCCCGAACCCACCAAGGUUGAAAACUUGGGGGAUGACCUGUGGAUAGGGGUGAAAGGCCAAACAAACUCGGCGAUAGCUGGUUCUCCCCGAAAUAGCUUUAGGGCUAGCGUUGUAUGUUCCGCAUUGGGGGUAGAGCAACUGAUUGGAUAAGGGGGCCUACAAGCUUACCAACUUCAGUCAAACUCCGAAUCUCAAUGCGCCAAGUACGGCAGUCAGACUACGAGAGAUAAGUUCCGUGGUCGCGAGGGCAACAGCCCAGAUCGCCAGCUAAGGCCCCUAAGUGUGUGCUAAGUGGGAAACGAUGUGGAGUUGCUCAAACAGCCAGGAUGUUGGCUUAGAAGCAGCCACCAUUUAAAGAGUGCGUAACAGCUCACUGGUCGAGUGAUUCCGCGCGGAAAAUGUAACGGGGCUCAAGCACACCGCCGAAGCUGCGGGAUUCAGCGAUUUAUCGUUGGAUCGGUAGGGGAGCGUCGUGUUGCCGUUGAAGCGGUGGCGUAAGCCAACCGUGGAGGCUUCACGAGUGCGAAUGCCGGCAUGAGUAGCGAAUGGAGAGUGAGAAUCUCUUCCGCCGAAUGUCCAAGGUUUCCUGGGGAAGGCUCGUCCGCCCAGGGUUAGUCGGGGCCUAAGGUGAGGCCGAGAGGCGUAAUCGAUGGAUAACCGGUUGAUAUUCCGGUACCACUCUAUGAGCGUCCAGACCGAAUCUGGUUUGCUAAGGAAAGCCCUUCGGGGCCUACCAACCCAACCAGUAGUAGGUCAGCGAUGGAGUGACGGGGAAGGCUAGACGGACCCGGGCGAUGGUAGUUCCCGGGGUAAGCGUGUGGGCGAGAUCCAGGCAAAUCCGGAUCUCAUCAAGCCUGAGGCGUGAUGCCGAGCCGAUUUAGGCGAAGCCGUUGAAGCCAUACCUCCGAGAAAAACUUCUAGCGAGCACAUAGGGUGCCCGUACCCCAAACCGACACAGGUGGACAGGUAGAGAAUACCAAGGCGAGCGAGAUAACUCUGGUUAAGGAAUUCGGCAAAAUAGUUCCGUAACUUCGGGAGAAGGAACGCCCCGGUAAAGUGGAAAGACUUAGCGUCUCAAGCUUGAGGGGGCCGCAGAAACCAGACCCAAGCGACUGUUUACCAAAAACACAGCAGGGUGCUAAGUCGCAAGACGAUGUAUACCCUGUGACGCCUGCCCGGUGCUGGAAGGUUAAGUGGAUGGGUUAGCUUCGGCGAAGCUUUGAAACUAAGCCCCAGUAAACGGCGGCCCUAACUAUAAGGGUCCUAAGGUAAAGGAAACCCCCUAGAGGCAAAGGGGGGCUGCCCCUCCCGCCGGUGACGGCGGUGAGUGCAGCUGGCCAUAUGCUGGAAAACCCGGUGUAUCCAUUCGGUACUCGCUCUUUCUUGUCAGACCCGUUGGGUAUUGAUGAGCUAUGAGCAGUGACAAUCCGAUGGUGGGUGACGCGCAAACGUCACGCCGGAAAAUCAGCAGGAAAGACUUGAGGACUAUUGGUUCUCGAGAAUCCUCAGAGACCAUACGCCAGCCAUCUCCUAUUGGAGAUGAAGAGAUGGUCCGGACCCUAUGGCGACAUAGGGAGGUCGGCAGAAAUGACCGGCCCACCUGUCGAGCAUCGUGCACUCGAUAUAGGUCUUAAGUAACAGAUCCAGCGAAAUUCCUUGUCGGGUAAGUUCCGACCUGCACGAAUGGCGUAACGACUUGGGUACUGUCUCAACCAGAGACUCGGCGAAAUUGCAGUGUGAGUAAAGAUGCUCACUACCUGCGGCAGGACGGAAAGACCCCGGAACCUUUACUGUAGCUUGACAUUGGUGUCUGGCAUGUGAUGUGCAGGAUAGGUGGGAGGCUGAGAAGCGGAGGCGCAAGCUUUCGUGGAGCCAACCUUGAAAUACCACCCUUCUCAUGACGGCCAUCUAACUUCGGUCCGUAAUCCGGAUCAGGGACAGUGUCUGGCGGGCAGUUUCACUGGGGCGGUGGCCUCCUAAAGAGUAACGGAGGCGCCCAAAGGUCCCCUCAGUCUGGUCGGCAAUCAGACGGCGAGUGUAAAUGCACAAGGGGGCUUGACUGCGAGACCUACAGGUCGAGCAGGGACGAAAGUCGGGAUUAGUGAUCCCAUGGUGGCACGUGGGUGCGCCAUGGCUCAACGGCUAAAAGGUACUCCGGGGAUAACAGGCUUAUACCCCCCAAGAGUCCAUAUCGACGGGGGUGUUUGGCACCUCGAUGUCGGCUCGUCGCAUCCUGGGGCUGGAGCAGGUCCCAAGGGUCGGGCUGUUCGCCCGUUAAAGCGGCACGCGAGCUGGGUUCAGAACGUCGUGAGACAGUAAGACCAUUGCUGUCUAUAAAUUCGGCUAUAUGCUGGAAAACCCGUGUAUCCGACUGGUACUCGUUCAUGUCACACCCGACACAUAGGGUUGAGACAUGGACAGUGAAAAUCCGGUCGGUGCGGACAAUCAGCAGGGAAGGCUGGAGUCCUACCUAAGUGGAUUCGCCGAUGGAGAAGGAACAUUCUCGGUUGGGGUCACGCGACGACCCGAUCUGGAGAAUGGUUUCCAACUCGUUCCUGAGUUUCGAGUGAGUCAGAACGCCGAGCGCGCCAGUGUGCUCUCGGUUUUCAAAGACACACUCGGCUGUGGAGCGAUCCGCCAAAACGACCGGCAACGGCGGGCGGAUCGAACCCUGGUCUUCGUCGUAAGGACGGAGAUCUGAUCUCAAGGACAGAGUCAUACCUUUUUCAUCCGUAAUCCACUGAUCUCCAACAAGGGAGACACUUUCGAGCUAUUCGCCACCAUCGUUGAAGCGAUGGACAAAGGCGAACACCUCAACCGCCAAGGAUUUGAGCGGUUGGUAGCCCUCGCGUUCAGAAUGAACGGCGAUGGACGUUAUCGAAAGUGGUCCCUGGCGGAGGUGUUAGGAACCCAGAACCCUCAGAGACUAUACGCCGAACACCUAUCCCAGGAUGGGUGAAGAUAUAGUCCGAGCUGUAUGGCGACAUACAGAGUCAGGCAGAAAUGACCUGGCCACUGCUCACCCGAAGUGAGCGGUAGUAACAAUACUGUCGGUCCCUAUCCGCCGCAGGCGCAGGAGAUUUGAAGGGAGCUGCCCCUAGUACGAGAGGACCGGGUUGGACGUACCUCUGGUGUGCGAGUUGUACUGCCAAGUGCACGGCUCGUUGGCUAUGUACGGAAGGGAUAAGCGCUGAAAGCAUCUAAGUGCGAAGCCCACCCUAAGAUGAGAUCUCCCACCCGUAAGGGUUAAGGCCCCUGGUAGAUGACCAGGUUGAUAGGCCGGACGUGUAAGCACAGCAAUGUGUUCAGCGGACCGGUACUAAUAGGCCGAGGGCUUGGAUAA